UAGUGGCGAACGGGUGAGUAACACGUGGGCAAUCUGCCCUUCACUCUGGGACAAGCCCUGGAAACGGGGUCUAAUACCGGAUAACACCUGCCCGGGCAUCCGGGUGGGUUAAAAGCUCCGGCGGUGAAGGAUGAGCCCGCGGCCUAUCAGCUUGUUGGUGAGGUAGUGGCUCACCAAGGCGACGACGGGUAGCCGGCCUGAGAGGGCGACCGGCCACACUGGGACUGAGACACGGCCCAGACUCCUACGGGAGGCAGCAGUGGGGAAUAUUGCACAAUGGGCGAAAGCCUGAUGCAGCGACGCCGCGUGAGGGAUGACGGCCUUCGGGUUGUAAACCUCUUUCAGCAGGGAAGAAGCGAAAGUGACGGUACCUGCAGAAGAAGCGCCGGCUAACUACGUGCCAGCAGCCGCGGUAAUACGUAGGGCGCAAGCGUUGUCCGGAAUUAUUGGGCGUAAAGAGCUCGUAGGCGGCUUGUCACGUCGGGUGUGAAAGCCCGGGGCUUAACCCCGGGUCC
rnacentral:rRNA from 1 species